AGAAUAAAAUUUUAAAUUUUUAAAAAUUUAUUUAAAUUUAAACAGUCACAUGUGGCUAAUACCUCAUGUAGUAGAUAGCACAUAUUUAGAGGUUCAGAAAAAGGCAAAAAUAUUUUGAAAUGGGAGUAUAAGGGAAUAGUAAGCAUAAUACUAGUUCACGAUAUUCAUCAAGAUAGGUAUUGUUAUGUACACUUUACAUACAAAUGAGGAAACUAAAGCUGAAAGAAAUUGUCUUCACAGUCCAUACAACUAGGAAGAGGUGGAGCCAGUAUUUCCAAUUCAGCCACACAGUUUUUCCUCUGUCUACAGAAGCUCCUAUAGCUUCUGAAUACUUCAUACAGUAGAUGGAAUAUGAGCCCAGCUUUGAAGGACAAUUAGACAGGAUAUAUAUACAGUGGUAAAGGAAGAAUAGAAAGAAAGGCAUGAACAAAACUUUGGAGACAAAGAGCAAGAAGACUUAGUUUCAUAGAAUUACUAGCCUUGGGAGGUGGGGAUGCUAAACCAUAAAAAAAGAAAACACCUCAUAUUGUUAAAGAACUUGAAUGUCAGGCUAAAGGCUUUACUUAGUAGGAGAUGUAAAUCUACUGAAGUUUUUGAAGGAAGGGUAGUGUUAAGAUGAAGAUGGGGUUUAAGAGAACUGAUACAGGAGCAGUGAUGUUGGAUUGGUCCAGAAGGGAGAGAGAGAGAGCAGGUUGGGGGGUUAUCAGAUCACUUCAAAGGUGAGCUCACGUGUCCCAAACUACCAAGGUGACAACGAGAAUGGGAAAGAAAAACGAGAACUGAGAAAAGUUGGGAAUGAAGCAUUUCCUUGGCAGAAGUUGCAAAAUAUUGGUCUUUAAUGUCAGGCCACAUUUGGUCAAUAAGUGUGUUUUGUUUGGCCCAAAUAAUGUUUGAAAGUUUUUAUUCAUGUGCCAACAUUUUAAAAUAUAAAAGUUUUAAGUAAACAACCAGAUUUAUAGCUUUCCUUCAGGAAAAGAAAAAAAAGAGUAAAUUUUCCAACCUUGGGCUGACAUUCAGUCUGGCAUUAAUUAGCUAGAACUGACUAUUCAUCCUUCUUUUAUAGAUAGAUAAGCUUUCUCCAGCUCUUUGAGUCCUUGUCUUUUCCCUUUCGUUUUAUUCCCGUCCGACUUCACUGAUGCAUGUUUCUUUCCUGGCCUGUGAUUUACAGGAAUAAUAAGGGAACAACCAAUUAUUUUAUUUUAUUUUAUUUCAUUUUUAUUUUUUUGAGACAGAGUCUCACUUUGUCGCCCAGGCUGGAGUGCAGUGGCUCGAUCUUGGCUCACUGCAACUUCCGCCUCCAGGGUUCAAGCGAUUCUCAUGCCUCAGCCUCCUGAGUAGCUGGGAUUACAGGAGCCUGACAACAUGCCCAGCUACUUUUUGUGUUUUUAGUAGAGACAGGAUUUCACCAUGUUGCCCAUGCUGGUUGUGAAUUCCUGACCUCAGGCGAUCCACCUGGCUCGGCCUCCCAAAGUGCUGAGAUUAUAAGCGUGAGCCACCGCGCCUGGCUGAUAGUUUUAUUUUUAAGUUGCUAAAAUAAAAUUUCCUUUCCUUUUAGUCUCAUUUAAACAAAACCUAUUUUUUUUUUUUUUUUGAGAUGUAGUUUUGCUCUCGUUGCCCAGACUGGAGUGCAAUGGAGUGAUCUCAGCUCACCCCAACCUCCACCUCCUGGGUUCAAGAGAUUCUCCUGCCUCAGCCUCCUGAGUAGCUGGGAUUACAUGCAUGCACCACCAAGCCUGGCUGAUUUUGUAUUUUUAGUAGAGACAGGGUUUCUCCAUGUUGGUCAGGCUGGUCUUGAACUCCCGACCUCAGGUGAUCCGCCCACCUCAGCCUCCCAAAGUGCUGGGAUUACAGGUGUGAGCCAGCAUGCCGGCACAAAAUCUAAAUUUUAAAAAAUGGUACUUCAAAUCCUUUGUUCUUGGUGAUCCAGACAAAAGCAGACACCUUUGGUGAUGUCUACGAAGCUCACAAUAACCACUUCCCUUCUUAGUUGCCCACAGAAAUGCAUUUUUGGUGACUAAAUUUAUACAUACAUGGCCUUGCCUUCUGGCUGUAUUGGGAUGGACCAAACUGGGCCGAAUGCUAAUACCCGGACUGCGAAGGGUAAACCAAAACAGAGUGGGGUGCACCGAAGAGGCGCCGCCUUGCCUCCCACCAGUUUACAUUCUCUUUCAACUUCCAAGCACUUGUAAUACAACUCCACUAGGAGAGCCUUUUCCCAAGUCGGCGCCUGUGGAGCUCUCCAAAUAACCAAGAAACAACUUCUCUGCUCAGCUGACGUGCUCUAGGGCUGUCGCCCCCGGCACAGUCCCGGAGAGCAGAGGGGCUGGGACACUGCUACGUGGAGUUCUCUCUGCCCCGGCCAACCCUCCAGCCACCGACUUUCUAAACAGAUAGAGACACCAACUACGGGGGAAGGGGUGUCU
rnacentral:lncRNA from 1 species